rnacentral:tRNA from 1 species
CGGGCAGUAGCUCACUGGUAGAGCUACCGCGUCACACAAGGGAAGACCUGGGUUCGAUUCCCGGCUGCUCAG